GGUUUCAUGGUGUAAUAGUGAGCACUCUGGACUCUUAAUCCAGUGAUCCGAGUUCAAAUCUCGGUGGAACCU
rnacentral:tRNA from 1 species